UACGUAGGGUGCGAGCGUUGUCCGGAAUUAUUGGGCGUAAAGGGCUCGUAGGCGGUUUGUCGCGUCGGGAGUGAAAACUCAGGGCUUAACCCUGAGCCUGCUUCCGAUACGGGCAGACUAGAGGUAUGCAGGGGAGAACGGAAUUCCUGGUGUAGCGGUGAAAUGCGCAGAUAUCAGGAGGAACACCGGUGGCGAAGGCGGUUCUCUGGGCAUUACCUGACGCUGAGGAGCGAGAGUGUGGGGAGCGAACAGG
rnacentral:rRNA from 1 species